rnacentral:rRNA from 1 species
UACAGAGGGUGCGAGCGUUAUUCGGAAUUAUUGGGCGUAAAGAGCACGUAGGCGGUUUGAUAAGUCUGAUGUGAAAGCCCUGGGCUCAAUCCAGGAAGUGCAUUGGAUACUGUUAAACUAGAGUAUAGGAGAGGAGAGCGGAAUUCCUGGUGUAGAGGUGAAAUUCGUAGAUAUCAGGAGGAACAACAGUGGCGAAGGCGGCUCUCUGGACUAUUACUGACGCUGAGGUGCGAAAGCGUGGGGAGCAAACAGG